GUUAAUCGGAAUAACUGGGCGUAAAGGGCACGCAGGCGGCUAUUUAAGUGAGGUGUGAAAUCCCCGGGCUUAACCUGGGAAUUGCAUUUCAUACUGGGUCGCUAGAGUACUUUAGGGAGGGGUAGAAUUCCACGUGUAGCGGUGAAAUGCGUAGAUAUAUGGAGGAACACCAGUGGCGAAGGCGGCUUGCUAGCCAAAGACUGACGCUCAUGCACGAAAGCGUGGGGAGCAAAUAGGAUUAGAUACCCUAGUAGUCCACGCCGUAAACGAUGAAUACUAAGUAUUGGGGAAACUCAGUGCUGCAGCUAACGCAAUAAGUAUUCCGCCUGUGGAGUAUGCACGCAAGUGUGAAACAUAAAGGAAUUGACGGGGGCCCGCACAAGCGGUGGAGUAUGUGGUUUAAUUCGACGCAACGCGAAGAACCUUACCAGGCCUUGACAUCCCUUGCAAAGCUGUAGAGAUA
rnacentral:rRNA from 1 species